AAACAAGCUCCGCAGUGACGGAUGUCCCCUGCUCAAAGAAAGAUGCACCAAGGAGACUAGCCCAGAAUGGCCCAAGAUUUGUCACAUCCCAGAUCUUCAGUUUGGCAAUUGGUGAUACGCAAUGCCUGCCUUACCGAACUAGAAUGUCUGUACACGUUACAAGGUUAAUCAAUUUCCACCUAAAGCAGGGCUCUAUCGUACCUGACGGCAAGAUCAAAUUAUGCUGAAUAGCUGAUGAUCACCUCUCCCAUGUACGGCUUGUCUGCUGUGUUUCAUUGAAGAUAA